rnacentral:rRNA from 1 species
AUGGGGUCCGGAUCUUUCCUCAAGGUGCUGGCCAAGAACUUCGACGUCCUCGCCGGGCCACUAGUUUCGCUUGCUUAUCCUCUAUAUGCUUCUGUGAGAGCAAUUGAAACAAAAUCUCAAGUAGAUGAUCAGCAAUGGCUUACUUACUGGGUGCUGUACUCGUUUAUCACUUUGUUUGAGCUCACUUUUGCUCCGAUACUUGAAUGGCUUCCAUUCUGGCCCUAUGGAAAACUGUUCUUCAACUGCUGGCUAGUCUUUCCUUGCUUCAAUGGUGCUGCUUAUGUUUACGAGCAUUUUGCGCGGCCAAUGUUUGUGAAUCGCCAAAUAGUCAACAUCUGGUACGUUCCAAGGAAGGAGAAGUUGAGUAAAUCUGAUGACGUACUCUCAGCCGCUGAGAAAUAUAUUGAACUAAAUGGACCGGAAGCGUUUGAGAAGCUAAUUAGCAAGUCUACAAGUACAAAGCCUUCAAAGUUUAGGAGCACGAGGCGGUCAAUCUUGCAGGAGGCGGAAGCUGAAAAGAUGGGCAAGGCUGAGAGAGAUUCAUGGGGUGAAAAUCCAUUCUACGAUAAAAAUUACCGACACUAA